AGUGCUUUUUAAAAGAUGAGUCUGUGUUCAUAUUGGUUGAUGUGGGUCCCUGGAAGUUUACGGUUGCCUGACGUGGAUUUGCUCAGAGAUGUCUACUCUAAGCUGGAUUCUGACUUAAGCUCUUUGAACCCAGUCUUUAAUUCUCCAACACAGGCUGUUGCACACUCAACUGUUGCAGCUAAACUGUUACUCCUCUUAAAAUACGCUGUGUCGGAAAUCAAGAAAACGCUUUGUAAAGGGGAUCUUAGGCAGGACGCUUCCAGUUACAUAAUCACUGCAAGUAUGUCGUGGCUUUUACCUCCUGUUCUUUCACAAGGGCUCAGUCAGUGUCAGCGGGACACAGUCAUCCCAAGGCUUGGGUGGAAGGAGACACUUCUACUUUUGUGUUGCUGGUAGAGUUUGGGUUCACUGUGAUAACUGACCGAGGCUCGUUUCCCAUCAGCUGCCUGCAGAAGGCUUUCUUUGAUCCCUUGCCACAUGAGUCUUCCAUGGGGCAUUGCGUAACAGAGCACUGGUGCCGUCAGAGAGCACAGGCAGCACUGCAAACGACGUAGCCCCGAACUAGACAGGCAGUAACUAGUCAGAGGGAGAAGUCCGAAUGAUUACCAGAGAACUCUGCUGGGGAGAGCUAGGACUGGAAGUACCAGAAGAGACACAGAGACAAUGCUGUCAUGUGAUGAAGCCAGAACCCCGUGCACCUUCACGCAAAGGACCACCAAGAACCUCUGGCAACCCCUCCGGCGGCCCAACGCCACUCACAUCUGCUGAUCGCUGUGUCUUCACUGCUUCAGGAGCCCGUGUGCAAGGCUGACCUGUGUCACUUCAGAUUGUGCAAGGACGUUCUAUGAUGUUUGCAAAGUGAUGAAACAAAUCCAGCAGAACAUUGCUCAGUACUGUCUGUCCCUGUGUGACACAUGACUGUACUAUUAAAACACAAAUCAUUGCAUUGCA
rnacentral:sRNA from 1 species